rnacentral:rRNA from 1 species
CCUACGGGUGGCAGCAGUGGGGAAUAUUGCACAAUGGGGGAAACCCUGAUGCAGCGACGCCGCGUGAGUGAAGAAGUAUUUCGGUAUGUAAAGCUCUAUCAGCAGGGAAGAAAAUGACGGUACCUGACUAAGAAACACCGGCUAAAUACGUGCCAGCAGCCGCGGUAAUACGUAUGGUGCAAGCGUUAUCCGGAUUUACUGGGUGUAAAGGGAGCGUAGACGGAUAGGCAAGUCUGGAGUGAAAACCCGGGGCUCAACCCCGGGACUGCUUUGGAAACUGUUUAUCUAGAGUGCUGGAGAGGUAAGUGGAAUUCCUAGUGUAGCGGUGAAAUGCGUAGAUAUUAGGAGGAACACCAGUGGCGAAGGCGGCUUACUGGACAGUAACUGACGUUGAGGCUCGAAAGCGUGGGGAGCAAACAGGAUUAGAUACCCCGGUAGUC